rnacentral:rRNA from 1 species
UGCGUAGGCGGCCUGGCAAGUUGGGUGUGAAAUCCCUCGGCUCAACCGAGGAACUGCGCUCAAAACUGCCAGGCUUGAGGGAGACAGAGGUGAGCGGAACUGAUGGUGGAGCGGUGAAAUGCGUUGAUAUCAUCAGGAACACCGGUGGCGAAGGCGGCUCACUGGGUCUCUUCUGACGCUGAGGCACGAAAGCUAGGGGAGCGAACG